ACCAACCGCGUAUUCGCCCUAGUAACGGCGAGUGAAGCGGCAACAGCUCAAAUUUGAAAUCUGGCCUCGGCCCGAGUUGUAAUUUGCGGAGGAAGCUUUUGGGGCGGCACCUUCUGAGACCUCUGGAACGGGGCGCCCUAUAGGGGGAGAGCCCCGUAUAGUUGGAUGCCUAGCCUGUGUAAAGCUCCUUCUUCGAGUCGAGUAGUUUGGGAAUGCUGCUCAUAAUGGGAGGUAAAUUUCUUCUUAAGCUAAUUACCGGCCAGAGACCGAUAGCGCACAAGUAGAGUGAUCGAAAGAUGAAAAGCACUUUUUAAAGAGGGUUAAAAAGCACGUGAAAUUGUUGAAAGGGAAGCGCUUGUGACCAGACUUGCGCCGGGCUGAUCAUCCGGUGUUCUCACCGGUGCACUCGGCCCGGCACAGGCCACCAUCGGUUCUCGCGGGGGGAUAAAGGUCCCGGGAACAUGUCUCCUCCGGGAGUGUUAUUUCCCGGGGCGUAAUGCCCUCCCGGGGACCGAGGUUCGAGCAUCUGCCAGGAUGCUGGCGUAAUGGUCGUCAACGACCCAUCUUGAAACACACACCAAGGAGUCAAGGUUUUGCGCGAGUGAUUGGGUGUCAAACCCGCCCGCGCAAUGAAUGUGAACGAACGUGAGAGCUUCCGCCCAUCAUCCACCGAUCCUGAUGUUUUCUCACGGAUUUGUUUGAGAACGAUAUCCUUGGACCCCAAAGAUGGAGAACUAUGCUUGGCAUAGUGUGAAUCCAGACGAAACUCUCGCGGAGGGUCGCACCGGUUCUGACGUGCAAAUCUAUCGUCAAAUUCUAAAGUAUGGGGGGGGAAAGA
rnacentral:rRNA from 1 species